rnacentral:tRNA from 1 species
GCCGGGGUGGUGAAAUUGGUAUACACGUACGCUUGAGGUGCGUAUGCCGAAAGGUGUGCAGGUUCAAGUCCUGUCCCCGGCA